rnacentral:rRNA from 1 species
UGCUCCCAUCAGUCAGCGGCGGACGGGUGAGUAACACGUGGGUAACCUGCCUGUMAGACUGGGAUAACUCCGGGAAACCGGGGCUAAUACCGGAUAACUCAUUUCCUCGCAUGAGGAAAUGUUGAAAGGUGGCUUUUAGCUAUCACUUACAGAUGGACCCGCGGCGCAUUAGCUAGUUGGUGAGGUAAUGGCUCACCAAGGCGACGAUGCGUAGCCGACCUGAGAGGGUGCUNAAAAAAUACUGGGACUGAGACACGGCCAAGACUCAUACGGGAGGCAGCAGUAGGGAAUCUUCCGCAAUGGACGAAAGUCUGACGGAGCAACGCCGCGUGAGUGAUGAAGGUUUUCGGAUCGUAAAGCUCUGUUGUUAGGGAAGAACAAGUACCGUUCGAAUAGGGCGGUACCUUGACGGUACCUAACCAGAAAGCCACGGCUAACUACGUGCCAGCAGCCGCGGUAAUACGUAGGUGGCAAGCGUUGUCCGGAAUUAUUGGGCGUAAAGCGCGCGCAGGUGGUUCCUUAAGUCUGAUGUGAAAGCCCACGGCUCAACCGUGGAGGGUCAUUGGAAACUGGGGAACUUGAGUGCAGAAGAGGAAAGUGGAAUUCCAAGUGUAGCGGUGAAAUGCGUAGAUAUUUGNAGGAACACCAGUGGCGAAGGCGACUUUCUGGUCUGUAACUGACACUGAGGCGCGAAAGCGUGGGGAGCAAACAGGAUUA